UUGUAGAUGUUAAAAGCAAGAGACAUGGGAGAGCAUCAUUCCUUUGAGAUUUUAUAACUCAAACCAACUUUGGAGUUGUCUGAUUUGGAGAGUCAUUAUUCUUGGUCUUCGCUCUUAAAGGCCACUGAUGAAGAACAGGCGGUGACUGGGAUGAAUGCUGGUCAGAGAGGAGAAUCUUCUUUCCCCUAAACUGAUGCAGCGGUGGUUUUAAAGAAGGACGCUGCCUUGGAUGAUGUAGAAGAUGUCACAUGCUGUGCUGAUGGGGUUUCUUCAUGAUUACAUCAGUUAUGCUAAAGAGAUCAUGAAAAUUGACUGUGAUGCAUGAUCUGUAUUCAUGGACUAUGAAACAAACUGUAAGUGUAUAAUUUGUAAAAAAAAAAAAAAAAAAAAAGUUAAAUGCUUUUUCUGUGUUGUUUAGUAGAAGAGUUUACACUCUGUCAUUCAUACACCUGUCACUUUCUUUCACACACACACACACACACACACACACACACACACACACACACACACACAUGCGUCUGUUAAAUGUUAUAAUAUCAAAGUUAAUGUUGUGAUUUAUUUGUGUACUGUCAUGCCAGAAUAGUUGGAAAAAAACCUAACUAAUUGUAAAUUUAUUGUUUGUGUUUUCGUAUAUUUUUAUACAAUAUAUACAAUUGAACAAAGUCCAAUUUGAUCUUAAGUUAUAUUCAUCAAAUGUUCAAUGCUUUGUUUAUGAACUCUGUAGCUGUUAAUGCCAAAUAUUUUCUGCAUUUCUUCUAACAUGUUACUUUUUGACUUUUUUUCUUGUUUUUAAUAAAUAUUUUCCUUUUGGUAAUUA